CACAAAUGAUGAACCCUUUGAUGGGUGGGCAGAAACAUGCUGAUUGUCAUGUUCUGAUUUG
ensembl:snoRNA LOC120098676 small nucleolar RNA SNORD43